AACCAUAGAAACCUGCGGAGUACCUGCGGAAGGAUCAUUAAAAAACUUUGCCCGCGGACCUUGGGUCCAAGGCGCAAAACCCACACUAUGUGCACUGUUAUCGUUCUUUUGGCAGGGGCUUGGGGUGUCUUCCAACUUGGGGAACCUCAACUUCUCGUCUAGCUCUAUCCACCUCGGACAGCUGGACAUGAGAAGCAGUUACUCUGCCAAGUGACCCUUAAAAACACGCUUUUUGUCUGA
rnacentral:misc_RNA from 1 species